rfam:Gossypium raimondii Chr04_contig_35, whole genome shotgun sequence.
UGUUAAAAUUUUUAUUCAUUUGUAUUGUUAAAAAUUGACGUAGCUGAUAGAAUAACCAGAAAGUGACACGUGACGUGCUACGUGUACUUUAUGCUGAUGUAUAAUGACCAAUUUAAAACAGUAAAAUUGGAAGAAAUUUUUAAUA